AUGAUAGAGGCGCGGCGCUCAUCAGUACCCACCGUCCACCGGCAGGCAACCGGGGCGGGGAAAGGGAUCGCCGCCGAAGGGUUUCUCGGGUGCCUGACCGGGGGAUGACCUGGGUCGGCAGAGAAGAUCUGCCGGACUGCCAUUGUAAGGAACUUUCGAUGGAGCGCUAUCA
rnacentral:ncRNA from 1 species